rnacentral:rRNA from 1 species
CAACUCGACUACAUGAAGCUGGAAUCGCUAGUAAUCGCGAAUCAGCAUGUCGCGGUGAAUACGUUCCCGGGUCUUGUACACACCGCCCGUCACACCAUGGGAGUUGGUAACGCCCGAAGCCAGUGACCCAACCGGAAACGGAGGGAGCUGUCGAAGGUGGGACCGAUAACUGGGGUGAAGUCGUAACAAGGUAGC